UGGGGAAUUUUGGACAAUGGGGGAAACCCUGAUCCAGCCAUCCCGCGUGUGCGAUGAAGGCCUUCGGGUUGUAAAGCACUUUUGGCAGGAAAGAAACGUCGCGGGUUAAUACCCCGCGAAACUGACGGUACCUGCAGAAUAAGCACCGGCUAACUACGUGCCAGCAGCCGCGGUAAUACGUAGGGUGCAAGCGUUAAUCGGAAUUACUGGGCGUAAAGCGUGCGCAGGCGGUUCGGAAAGAAAGAUGUGAAAUCCCAGAGCUUAACUUUGGAACUGCAUUUUUAACUACCGGGCUAGAGUGUGUCAGAGGGAGGUGGAAUUCCGCGUGUAGCAGUGAAAUGCGUAGAUAUGCGGAGGAACACCGAUGGCGAAGGCAGCCUCCUGGGAUAACACUGACGCUCAUGCACGAAAGCGUGGGGAGCAAACAGGAUUAGAUACCCUGGUAGUCCACGCCCUAAACGAUGUCAACUAGCUGUUGGGGCCUUCGGGCCUUGGUAGCGCAGCUAACGCGUGAAGUUGACCGCCUGGGGAGUACGGUCGCAAGAUUAAAACUCAAAUGAAUUGACGGGGUCGAUAG
rnacentral:rRNA from 1 species